rnacentral:rRNA from 1 species
CCCAGACUCCUACGGGAGGCAGCAGUGGGGAAUAUUGCACAAUGGGGGAAACCCUGAUGCAGCGACGCCGCGUGAGUGAAGAAGUAUUUCGGUAUGUAAAGCUCUAUCAGCAGGGAAGAAGAAGGACGGUACCUGAGUAAGAAGCCCCGGCUAACUACGUGCCAGCAGCCGCGGUAAUACGUAGGGGGCAAGCGUUAUCCGGAUUUACUGGGUGUAAAGGGGGCGCAGACGGCGAUGCAAGCCAGGAGUGAAAGCCCGGGGCCCAACCCCGGGACUGCUCUUGGAGCUGCGUGGCUGGAGUGCAGGAGGGGCAGGCGGAAUUCCUGGUGUAGCGGUGAAAUGCGUAGAUAUCAGGAGGAACACCGGUGGCGAAGGCGGCCUGCUGGACUACAACUGACGUUGAGGCCCGAAAGCGUGGGGAGCAAACAGGAUUAGAUACCCGCGUAA